AAAGGACUAUACAGAAAUAUAAAGCUGACUUUACAGAUGUAUGUGUGUGUGUGUGUGUGUGUGUAUAUACACACACACACACACACACAUAUAUAUAUAUAUGUGUGUGUGUGUGUGUGUGUAUAUACACACACACACACACACACACAUACAUCUGUAAAGUCAGCUUUAUAUUUCUGUAUAGUCC
rfam:Callithrix jacchus chromosome 19, whole genome shotgun sequence